CAGUAAUUUUGUAUUUGUGUUUAUUACCCUUGUCUAGUCCUUUCUCAUUUUCUCAAGAGUAUUAUGUAUCAUUAAUGGAGAGGAGCUCGAGCUAGAAGAUGAUGAGUUGUUUGGAGUAGUUCCGGAGAGCCAUGAGUUUGCAGGAGAAUGGGUUGUAAUAUUUCGAGAUGGGACAUACUUGACCUUGAAAGAAGUUUUUGAGAGUCUGGAUCUGAGACAAUAGCACAUUUCAUCGUUUUGACAAGUUUAAUCUCAAAUACAAUCCCUGUGGCCAAAGUUGGCUCAUGGAGAUUUUUCCUAAAGCAUGACAAUCUUAUUCAAGGUUGUUGGGUUGGAUUUAGUGGAUGAUGAAAGAAAGCCUGAAAGAACCCCCACAAAACAUAUGCCCACUCUAGAUUAGUGAACCAAUGCCUUUAAUCCUGCCUUUUCUUACUAUUUGUAUUACUGUUAUGAAAAUCUCUACAAAUUAAACAAGGUAUUUCAUAACAGUACACAACUUUUUAGAAAAGUUUCUCUUUACACUGUCUAUAAUUUUUAUGUAAUGAUUUUUUUUGUUUAACACCUUAUUGUUUCUCUGAUA